rnacentral:rRNA from 1 species
CUACGGAAGGCAGCAGUGGGGAAUAUUGGACAAUGGGCGCAAGCCUGAUCCAGCCAUGCCGCGUGGGUGAAGAAGGCCUUCGGGUUGUAAAGCCCUUUUGUUGGGGACGAAAUCGUACGGGUGAAUAUCCCGUGCGGAUGACGGUACCCAAAGAAUAAGCACCGGCCAACUUCGUGCCAGCAGCCGCGGUAAUACGAAGGGUGCAAGCGUUACUCGGAAUUACUGGGCGUAAAGCGUGCGUAGGCGGUUUGUUAAGUCCGUUGUGAAAGCCCUGGGCUCAACCUGGGAAUUGCAGUGGAUACUGGCGAGCUAGAGUGCGGUAGAGGAUGGUGGAAUUCCCGGUGUAGCGGUGAAAUGCGUAGAGAUCGGGAGGAACACCCGUGGCGAAGGCGGCCAUCUGGACCAGCACUGACGCUGAGGCACGAAAGCGUGGGGAGCAAACAGGAUUAGAUACCCCGGUAGC